rnacentral:rRNA from 1 species
CAGUAGCCGCGGGAAUACGUAGGGUGCGAGCGUUGUCCGGAAUUAUUGGGCGUAAAGGGCUCGCAGGCGGUUUCUUAAGUCUGAUGUGAAAGCCCCCGGCUCAACCGGGGAGGGUCAUUGGAAACUGGGAAACUUGAGUGCAGAAGAGGAGAGUGGAAUUCCACGUGUAGCGGUGAAAUGCGUAGAGAUGUGGAGGAGCACCAGUGGCGAAGGCGACUCUCUGGUCUGUAACUGACGCUGAGGAGCGAAAGCGUGGGGAGCGAACAGGAUUAGAUACCCGUGUAGUCCCUGUCUCUUAUAC